rnacentral:lncRNA from 1 species
CUCCGACGUUCUUCUCCGAUUCGCACAUCUCCAAAAUAUCGCGAUAUUAUCGGUAAUAUCGCGAUAUUGUCGAUAUUAUCGAUAAUAUCGCAAUAUUUUAACGAAAACUUAGUGGAUAAGUAUUAAAAUAUCGGUAACUCAAAAAACCAAUAUUAUCGGCAUUUCAUACCUUGGUUGGAUGGAAAAAUGAAAAGUUCAUUUUUUAUUACAACUUUGGAUGAUUAAAAUACACCGUACAAUGAGUUUGAAUUAGCAUAUUGUGCUCUUUUUAGAAUGUAUUAUGCUUCGAAAAUGGGAAUCGAACGCAAAAUUUAUAAAUUUUCUUUGCAUCCUUUUGUCUUUCUUUGAUCUAUUUUAUCUUUAGUUCAAUAUUUCCUAACUUUAAUUACUUUUUUUAAAAUUUGAAACAUUUUAUUUUAUUAUCUUUCUUCUUUGACUGAUACCUUGUCUUACAUCACAUAUGAUGUAAAACAUCACUGGAACACAUUCGAUUUUGAUUUUAAAGGAGUAUAUAAAAUUUCAAGUGUAUUCCAUUAGAAAUUUAUUUGAAAGGAAAUUAAAAAGUAAAAGAUUCGAGGGAAUUAGAGAUAUUACGUAAUGUAUAUUAAGUAUUUACAAAUAUCACUUCUCUCAUGAGAGAGAGACAUCACUAAAAUCUCUAGAAAUCAUUUGAACUUCAUCAAACUCUAUGAACUUAUAAAUCUAUUAAAAUCACUCAAACUCUAUAUAAACCUCUAGUAAACUAAAUUAAAUUAAAUUAGAAUGUCAUUUUGUCAAAAGUACGAAAGAUUCUAUAAGUCCAACUCUUAUUUACCAAAGUAAAUAAACAAAUAGUUCUAACUCCAAAUGUCCGAGAAUGACUUAUAUAAUAAGAAAAACUAAUGAAAAUGAUUUUAAAACUUUGAGUUUUAAAGAUAAGGACAAAAUAAAGGGUAACUUGAAUAGUAUCAGGAUUGACUUUUUAAUAUAAAAAUGUGGUUUUUCGUUAAAGUAAACAGUAUCGGAAGCUUUUCGUUAAAGUUCUCAUAAUAAUACGACAUACUAUUAUUAUAUUAGUCGCGAUUUUUUUGUACCAUGUAAAUUGUGUUUCUAAUACCGUGUUGGGAAAGGAUUUGAAUCCUUUCCUGAGCCUAAGGAGAGGAUCCUCCUGACCAAGAACUGUGGACCGUUGAAUUUUUAUCCAACGGCUAUAAUUAUUAUAACUUUAAAUGAAUCUCCUAUUUGUAGUCGUUGGAUAAAAAUACAACGGUCCAUAGUCCUUGGUUAGGAGACAAUCCAAAUCCAGUGGGAAAUGAUUCAAACACCUAAGGUCAUCUCCAACCGAAGGGUUCAGAGGGCCAGAGAGCUGAAAAUAGC